rnacentral:tRNA from 1 species
GCAAAGGGUGGCGCAGCUGGCGCAGCGCUUUCCCGGUCAGGAGAUCCUGGUGGAGCACUUCCUGCCGGGCCGGGAGUUCAACGUUUCCCUUUUGGC